rnacentral:piRNA from 1 species
AGGACUGGCCACUCUUCUAGACAAGG